rnacentral:rRNA from 1 species
AAUGAACGUUGGCGGCAUGGAUCAGGCAUGCAAGUCGAGCGAGAAGUGUAGCAAUACACGGAAAGCGGCGGAAGGGAGAGUAAUACGUGGGAAUCUGCCCUUAGACCUGGGAUAGCAGCGGGAAACUGCUGGUAAUACCAGAUAAUGUCUAUGGACCAAAGGUGUGAUUCCGUCUAGGGAUGAGCCCACGUCCUAUUAGCUAGUUGGUAGGGUAAUGGCCUACCAAGGCGAGGAUGGGUAGCGGGUGUGAGAGCAUGACCCGCCUCACUGGGGCUGAGACACUGCCCAGAAACCUACGGGUGGCUGCAGUCGAGAAUCUUCGGCAAUGGGCGCAAGCCUGACCGAGCGAUGCCGCGUGCGGGAUGAAGGCCUUCGGGUUGUAAACCGCUGUCGAGGGGGAGCAACUUCCAUAGAGUUAUCUUUAUGGAUUGAGUGAUCCCUGGAGGAAGGACGGGCUAAGUUCGUGCCAGCCGCCGCGGUAACAC